GUAGGGAAUAUUGCACAAUGGAGGAAACUCUGAUGCAGCGACGCCGCGUGAGUGAUGAAGGCCUUCGGGUCGUAAAGCUCUGUCGCAGGGGAAUAACACAAUGAAGGUACCCUGUAAGAAAGGAUCGGCUAACUUCGUGCCAGCAGCCGCGGUAAGACGAGGGAUCCUAGCGUUGUUCGGAAUCAUUGGGCGUAAAGCGGAUGUAGGUGGCUAUGUAAGUCAGAUGUGAAAGCCUGGGGCUCAACCCCAGAAGUGCAUUUGAUACUGCGUAGCGUGAGUGUCGGAGAGGUUACUAGAAUUGUUGGUGUAGUGGUGAAAUACGUAGAUAUCAACAGGAAUACCGGAGGCGAAGGCGGGUAACUGGCCGAACACUGACACUGAGAUCCGAAAGCGUGGGGAUCAAACAGGAUUAGAAACCCGGGUAGUCC
rnacentral:rRNA from 1 species